UUAGUGAGGCCUUCUGACUGGCGCCGAUACUCUGGCAACAGAGCGCCGGAUGCCGGAAAGUUGGUCAAACUUGAUCAUUUAGAGGAAGUAAAAGUCGUAACAAGGUUUCCGUAGGUGAACCUGCGGAAGGAUCAUUACCGAUACAGUCCGACAACAACUUUGUUGUUUGCCCUGUGAACCGUACCUGACCAUUAUUAGGGGUCGGCCGGCCAGGCCGUUAAAUGGCGAUCGGACGCGACCGGACACAAGGAAGUUCGCGGCCGCCUCGCCAGCCCCGCCGGUGUUUUUUACAACGUACGCGUCUGUGGUCUGAUAUUGCGGCCUGCCCGAUGGCGGCCGACAGUUGAAAAAUGAAAGAGAGACAACUUUUGACGGUGGAUCUCUUGGCUCACGCAUCGAUGAAGAACGCAGCCAGCUGCGAUAAGUAGUGUGAAUUGCAGAAUUCAGUGAAUCAUCGAAUCUUUGAACGCAAAUGGCGCUCUUGGGUUCUCCCAGGAGCAUGUCUGUCUGAGUGUCGGAUAUCAUCCAUCGCGAGAGCGGGCGCCAGCCCGCGCUUGCGGCGUUGAGGCGUCACGGCCCACCCUGCGGCGCGGCCGUGUCCCUUGAAAGGCAGCGAGACUCGCUGCGGUCUGUUUCCCACAGCGCAGCAGCGGAGGCCAAAAGUGUUGGCGAUCCUCCGCGCGCUGGCGGGUCCCUGCCGCGCGAGUUGUCCAGGCGAGAGUUUCAUUUAUCUCUUGACCUCAGAUCAGGCAAGGCUACCCGCUGAAUUUAAGCAUAUUAAUAAGCGGAGGAAAAGAAAC
rnacentral:misc_RNA from 1 species